rnacentral:rRNA from 1 species
UACGGGGGGGGCAAGCGUUGUUCGGAAUUACUGGGCGUAAAGGGCUCGUAGGUGGCCAACUAAGUCAACCGUGAAAUCCCUCGGCUUAACCGGGGAACUGCGUUUGAUACUGGAUGGCUUGAGUUUGGGAGAGGGAUGCGGAAUUCCGGGUGUAGUGGUGAAAUGCGUAGAGAUCCGGAGGAAUACCAGUGGCGCAAGCGGCGCUCUGGGUCGAGCCUGACACUGAGACGCGAAGGCAUGGGGAGCGAACGGG